UACGUAGGGUGCGAGCGUUGUCCGGAAUUAUUGGGCGUAAAGAGCUUGUAGGUGGUUUGUCGCGGUCUGCUGGUGAAAAUCCGAGGCUCAACCUCGGACUUGCAGUGGGUACGGGCAGACUAGAGUGUGGUAGGGGAGACUGGAAUUCCUGGUGUAGCGGUGGAAUGCGCAGAUAUCAGGAGGAACACCAAUAGCGAAGGCAGCUCGCUGGGACGUUACUGACACUAAGGCGCGAAAGCGUGGGGAGCGAACAGG
rnacentral:rRNA from 1 species